GCCUCCACGGCCAUCGGUGGCAAUGAAUUCCACGGAUUCACAAUCUUCUGGUUAAAGAAAUUCCUCCUCAUCUCUAUUUUUAAAAAGUGCGUCCUUUUACUCCGUGGCUGUGGCCUGUGGUACUAGACA